GUGCUCUCGUAGUGCAGAGUUAAAAUACUUCACCAUUCUUCAUAUUAAUACUAGAACUUUCAUUCCUACCAGAGUUCUUAGUGUUCAUUAGAGUAAUAUUUACAAUGCCAGGAGGUGACUUUUUCAUUGUGAUGCUUCUUCUUUGGAUGUUUGUCGGCAGGGGGGUUGAUGGUGAGAGAGUGACUGGAGUGUUGCAUGGGCAAGUGGAGCUCCGAGGACGCUAUGGACACCAUGCAGAUGUGCUCAUUGUGGAAUGGAAUAAAUAUUCAGCUAAAAAUUCAACAAAAAAACUGUUAUAUUUGUUUCGGAAGCCAAAUAAUGCUGUAUGCCUAGAUCCCUGCCAAAACAUUAGUUUUAAUUCAGAGAAUAUGAGUCUUAUUUUGGUCCAUUUGACACCAGAAGAUGAAGGCAUUUAUGAGGAGAAAUCUACAUUUACAAAUAACACCAUUAAAUAUUUUAAUAUCACAUUAACGUUUCUGACUGCAACAAACAUCAUUGUCUAUUCUUCUCCUGGAUCUCUGACCCUGACGUGUGGGAUCAAGGGGGAGUUUCAGCUGCUGCAAUGGUUCAGAAAUGGCCUUCCACUGCCUGAAGACCAGAGAUUCUCCUUCAGUGAGAACAAGAAGACCAUGCGGGUAUCCCACCCGAACAGUUCAGACUGCGGUACAUACACCUGUCGAGUUUCAAAUGAAAACGGAAAAUCAGAGGCGCAAGUCAGCAUCAAUGGCGAAUUUUGUGAAGAUUCUCAUUCCUCAUUCUCCAAGUUUUGUGUAGCAGUUUAACCUACAUUUGCAAAUAUUACGGUCAUGAAAAAAUAAAAAGUACUUCAGCUGAAGAACCUAUUUAUGACGAACCCACAUGUUUUCAGGAAGAAGCUGCUACUCCGACUAUGGACCCUUUGGUAGUUGUCUAUCAAGACUUCAUAAAACCAAAAGAUUCACAUCAGUCUGAAGACUUUGGCUACUCCACCAUUGCAGAUGUUCUGGAGAACACACAGCAUUCAAACACCACAUGAGCACCAAGCUGCAGGUGUAAAACAAGACCUACGUUGUAAUGGGAGACUUACCAUGUGUUCCUUUAUUGUGUAUAAAAUUGAGCUUACACUGUAACAAACUGCUGUAAAAAUACUAGAUAUUUUGCACAGUAGUGUACCGUUCUCCAUUAAUACAGCUGAAUACUGUAAAUUCUGAUGUCUUUGAGGAACAAAAUAUUAAAGGCAAGCUUCUGUAAA